rnacentral:rRNA from 1 species
UACGGAGGGUGCAAGCGUUAUCCGGAUUCACUGGGUUUAAAGGGUGCGUAGGUGGGCUGAUAAGUCAGUGGUGAAAUCCCCGAGCUUAACUUGGGAACUGCCAUUGAUACUAUCGGUCUUGAAUAUCGUGUAGGUAAGCGGAAUAUGUCAUGUAGCGGUGAAAUGCUUAGAUAUGACAUAGAACACCAAUUGCGAAGGCAGCUUACUUUACGAUCAUUGACACUGAGGCACGAAAGCGUGGGGAGCAAACAGG